rnacentral:rRNA from 1 species
CUGCUGCCUCCCGUAGGAGUCUGGGCCGUAUCUCAGUCCCAAUGUGGCCGGCCAACCUCUCAGUCCGGCUACUGAUCGUCGCCUUGGUAGGCCGUUACCCUACCAACUAGCUAAUCAGACGCGAGGCCAUCUCUCAGCGAUAAAUCUUUGGUAUCCAUGCCAUGCGACACAAAUACGUUAUGCGGUAUUAGCAGUCGUUUCCAACUGUUGUCCCCCACUGAAAGGCAGGUUCCUCACGCGUUACU